rnacentral:rRNA from 1 species
GGCGCUUUAUACCCACCUAGAGGAGCCUGUUCUAGAACCGAUACCCCUCGUUCAACCUCACCUUCUCUUGUUCCCCCCCGCCUAUAUACCGCCGUCGUCAGCCCACCCUGUGAAGGUCUAAUAGUGAGCAAAAUUGGUACAACCCAAAACGUCAGGUCGAGGUGUAGCGUAUGGGAAGGAAGAAAUGGGCUACAAUUGCUAAAACAGCUAACACGAACUGUCUCGCUGAAAUCGCGAACAUGAAGGAGGAUUUAGAAGUAAGGUGAAAGCAGAGUGUUCCCCUGAACAGGCCCUAAAGCGUGCACAUACCGCCCGUCACCCUCCCCAAGCUAAAUCAAUGACUAUUAAUUAAGAAUUAUAUCCUGCAAAGGGGAGGCAAGUCGUAACAUGGUAAGUGUACCGGAAGGUGCACUUGAGUAAAUU